rnacentral:rRNA from 1 species
GAUGAACGCUGGCGGCGUGCCUAAUACAUGCAAGUCGAGCGAACAGACGAGGAGCUUGCUCCUUUGACGUUAGCGGCGGACGGGUGAGUAACACGUAGGUAACCUACCUAUAAGACUGGGAUAACUUCGGGAAACCGGAGCUAAUACCGGAUAAUAUUUCGAACCGCAUGGUUCGAUAGUGAAAGAUGGCUUUGCUAUCACUUAUAGAUGGACCUGCGCCGUAUUAGCUAGUUGGUAAGGUAACGGCUUACCAAGGCAACGAUACGUAGCCGACCUGAGAGGGUGAUCGGCCACACUGGAACUGAGCCACGGUCCAGGCUCCUACGGGAGGCAGCAGUAGGGAAUCUUACGCAAUGGGCGAGAGCCUGACGGAGCAACGCCGCGUGAGUGAUGAAGGUCUUCGGAUCGUAAAACUCUGUUAUUAGGGAAGAACAGACGUGUAAGUAACUGUGCACGUCUUGACGGUACCUAAUCAGAAAGCCACGGCUAACUACGUG